ACCCUGCGACGUUAGCAGUCGUU
rnacentral:snRNA from 1 species